rnacentral:rRNA from 1 species
GACGAACGCUGGCGGCGUGCUUAACACAUGCAAGUCGAACGAAGUGGCGAACGGGUGAGUAACGCGUAAUCAACCUGCCCUUCAGAGGGGGACAACAGUUGGAAACGACUGCUAAUACCGCAUACUGAAGUAGGGGAUUGCGUGUGAUUAGCUAGUGGGAGGGGUAACGGCCCACCAAGGCCAGGAGCAGUAGCCGGUGUGUAAGGAUGAACGGCAAAAUUGGGACUGAGACACGGCCCAGACUCCUACGGGAGGCAGCAGUGGGGAAUCGUCCGAAAUGGACGAAAGUCUGACGGAGCAACGCCGCGUGAGUGAUGACGGCCUUCGGGUUGGAAAGCUCUGUUAAUCGGGACGCGGUACCGGAAGAGAAAGCAACGGCUAACUACGUGCCAGCAGCCGCGGUAAUAC